CCCCGCCCCGCGCCGGGCUAGUGGCGCCAGGUCCCUCCUGGAGCGGCUCCAGCCGCACAGCCGCCGCCGCUCGGGUUCGUCCUCCGGCAGCUGAUGUCCAGCCGGGUGCUCGGGCGGUACGCAGUGGCACACAGCCACAGGAUGUCAGCCGAACGCACACCUCGAAGGUUGGCCUUCACAGAUGCUGCUUACAUGCUGAGGAUUUCUUUUUAUUUCCCUAGAAUGCUCCUCUUUGGACAAUCAUACUUUAUGCACCCUAUCCAGGACAGCGAUCUUCGGUCUAGGGUACAUAUUCCCUGAAGGUAUGUGAAGACUUUUAAGGUGUUUACAAGUAUGGACAGCUUUGAAGAUCCUCCAUUUUCAUAUCUAUUCUUUCCUAAAAGUGAAAUAUUUCUUUUUUAAAAUUUUUUUAACGUUUAUUUAUUAUUGAGAGACACAGAGAGACAGAGUGCGAGCAAAGGAGGGGCAGAGAGAGAGGGAGACACAGAAUCCGAAGCAGGCUCCAGGCUCAGAGCUGUCAGCACAGAGCCUGACGCGGGGCUUGAACUCACAAACUGCGAAUUCAUGACCUGAGCCGAAGUCGGACGCUUAACCGACUGAGCCACCCAGGCACCC
rnacentral:lncRNA from 1 species